rnacentral:rRNA from 1 species
UACGUAGGUGGCAAGCGUUAUCCGGAAUUAUUGGGCGUAAAGCGCGCGCAGGUGGUUUCUUAAGUCUGAUGUGAAAGCCCACGGCUCAACCGGGGAACUGCGUCUGAUACUGGAUGGCUUGAGUUCGGGAGAGGGAUGCGGAAUUCCAGGUGUAGCGGUGAAAUGCGUAGAUAUCUGGAGGAACACCGGUGGCGAAGGCGGCAUCCUGGACCGACACUGACGCUGAGGAGCGAAAGCCAGGGGAGCAAACGGG